AUGGCUCAGGAUGAACGCUAGCGGCAGGCUUAACACAUGCUAGUCGAGGGGCAGCGCGGGGCGGCAACGUCCUGGCGGCGACCGGCGGAAGGGUGCGUAACGCGUGAGCGACAUGCCCGUUGCCCGGGGACAACCGGUGGAAACGCCGACUAAUCCCCGAUGGGACGGAGGCCCUCAUGGGUCUCUGUUGAAAGUUACGGCGGCGACGGAUUGGCUCGCGUCCGAUUAGCUUGUUGGCGGGGUAACGGCCCACCAAGGCUACGAUCGGUAGGGGUUCUGAGAGGAAGGUCCCCCACAAUGGAACUGAGACACGGUCCAUACUCCUACGGGAGGCAGCAGUGAGGAAUAUUGGUCAAUGGGCGGAAGCCUGAACCAGCCAUGCCGCGUGCGGGAAGGAGGCCCUAUGGGCUGUGAACCGCUUUUGCCUGGGGGCAAUAAGGGCGUCGUGCACGUCCGAUGAGAGUACCAGGCGAAUAAGCAUCGGCUAACUCCGUGCCAGCAGCCGCGGUAAUACGGGGGAUGCGAGCGUUAUCCGGAUUCAUUGGGUUUAAAGGGUGCGUAGGCUGUGCGUCAAGUCAGGGGUGAAAUUCCGGGGCUCAACUCCGGGGCUGCCCUUGAUACUGUCGCGCUGGAGUGCGGAUGCCGCCGGAGGAAUGAGUGGUGUAGCGGUGAAAUGCUUAGAUAUCACUCAGAACACCGAUUGCGAAGGCAUCUGGCGAAUCCGUAACUGACGCUGAGGCACGAAAGCGUGGGGAUAGAACAGGAUUAGAUACCCUGGUAUUCCACGCCGUAAACGAUGAUGGCUAACCGCCGGCGACACACUGUCGGUGGCCAAGCGAAAGCGAUAAGCCAUCCACCUGGGGAGUACGUC
rnacentral:rRNA from 1 species